UGCUUAGAUUCUAAAAGCCAUUUAGACAAAAGACGAUGAGUACUUACGACAAAGGUUUAUUGCUGAUUCAUUAGGUCGUUUGAAUAGUAUUAAACGCAAAUAUUCUAAAGUAAUAGAACUGCUUGUGACAAAAAUAUCAAAUUAGUCUGUUUCAAGAUUUCCAGUCGUUGGUGGAUAGGCAAGGUUUGGUAUAAUUGCAGACCAAGGGACAAGUACAACUUGUAUCAUUACUUUUAAUAAGAUUAAUGAAAGCGAAAGAAUAUAUAAUAAAAAUACCAAUUUCAGGAUGGAUCCUUUGUGACGCGGAUUAGUAGAUAUUAUUAGUAGUUAUGGAGUUUGAAAAUUAUUUACAUCCAAUAAGGUUAAUCCAUUAAUGAAAAGCGAUGUUACUUUAAUUACUGUUUGCAACAGGAAUUUUCUAAGUAGGUUUAAUAUGAUUAGAGCAUACCUGUUUGUUACAGUAUUAGUUAGUCCAGCACAUGUUUAUUACAAUAUUGUUUAGUACUAAGCCCGAGCUUUGGCAAUCAAACUUCGGGAAAUACCAGACAUUGUUAUGAAGGCUUUCAGGUUUCAACCACAUUAUUUAAGCGAUUUGCCGCACUGCCUAGCUAUAAUUGCAGGUUUUAGAAAUAAUUUUACAGUUGACUGAGUGGAAGUGCAAACGGACAUUCUUCAAAACAAUAUUUUUUAUAUUUGGGCCUUUUUCUGCCAAUUUACUUACUCUGGCUACUAAUAAUGCAUUGCAGAGUACAGAGAAUUAGUUUAUAAGGAAAAAGUGAAUGAAACUACAAAAUGAACUAUCUUUAAAAACAGCAAUAUGUUAGUUACAUUUGGAAAAAGUAAAUGUAAAUAUAAAAUGUUUGAGCCCCACGCUGACUAUCAUAGAACGCCAAACAUUUUUAUUACUAGAAAAGUGCGGACGUAUGUCAUAAAGUAUGUGGACUUUAUGUUAGUA